GACGAACGCUGGCGGCGUGCUUAACACAUGCCAGUCGAACGGAAAGGCCCUGCUUUUGUGGGGUGCUCGAGUGGCGAACGGGUGAGUAACACGUGAGUAACCUGCCCUUGACUUUGGGAUAACUUCAGGAAACUGGGGCUAAUACCGGAUAGGAGCUCCUGCUGCAUGGUGGGGGUUGGAAAGUUUCGGCGGUUGGGGAUGGACUCGCGGCUUAUCAGCUUGUUGGUGGGGUAGUGGCUUACCAAGGCUUUGACGGGUAGCCGGCCUGAGAGGGGGACCGGCCACCAUGGGACUAAGGUACGGCCCAGACUCCUACGGGAGGCAGCAGUGGGGAAUAUUGCACAAUGGGCGGAAGCCUGAGACAGCGGCGCCGCGUGCGGAAUGACGGCCUUCGGGUUGUAAACCGCUUUCGCCUGUGACGAAGCGUGAGUGACGGUAAUGGGUAAAGAAGCACCGGCUAACUACGUG
rnacentral:rRNA from 1 species